AUACGGAGGGAGCGAGCGUUAAUCGGAAUUACUGGGCGUAAAGCGCGCGUAGGCGGCUUUGUAAGUCGGAUGUGAAAGCCCAGGGCUCAACCCUGGAAUUGCAUUCGAUACUGCAUGGCUAGAGUAUGGUAGAGGGAAGUGGAAUUUCCGGUGUAGCGGUGAAAUGCGUAGAUAUCUGAAGGAACACCAGUGGCGAAGGCGACUUCCUGGGCCAAUACUGACGCUGAGGUGCGAAAGCGUGGGGAGCAAACAGGAUUAGAAACCCCGGUAGUCC
rnacentral:rRNA from 1 species